AUUGAACGCUGGCGGCAUGCCUUACACAUGCAAGUCGAACGACGUUACGGGGGCAACUCCGUAGCGAGUGGCGAACGGGUGAGUAAUGCAUCGGAACGUGCCCUCUUGUGGGGGAUAACCAGUCGAAAGAUUGGCUAAUACCGCAUGAGCUCGAGAGAGGAAAGGCGGGGAUCCGCAAGGACCUCGCGCGAGAGGAGCGGCCGAUGCCCGAUUAGCUAGUUGGAGAGGAAAGGCUCACCAAGGCGAUGAUCCGUAGCUGGUCUGAGAGGACGACCAGCCACACUGGGACUGAGACACGGCCCAGACUCCUACGGGAGGCAGCAGUGGGGAAUAUUGGACAAUGGGCGCAAGCCUGAUCCAGCAA
rnacentral:rRNA from 1 species